CUCCCUGCUUUUUUCCACCUCCAGCUUCUGCUCUCCCAUUCGCUGUCGCCUGCCAUUUGACCGUGGAUAUGACUAUAUAUGGGAUCCGACGGGCUAGGGAGGGAAGGCAGGCAGGGGCAGAGAGAUUUGUGCCUGUGUCUACUCUGAAUACGCGGGACGGGACGUUUGCCGCUGCCGGGGGCAGGCCAGAGCGGGUUGCACGGGUGAUGCUGUGAGCCGGAGCUGAUUGUCUGCAGGGAGCGAAGUUAUGCCUGAAAUGCCCAUUCUGCAAAGUACUGGCUUGAGUCGAGCGCUUGGGUGAUUGUUCUGCUCCGUAGCGGAGCUGGCUCGUCCCAUCCCACAGCCUCCAAUAAAUCCCAGCUCAAACAGCACUGGGAGCCCACCGAGCUUUCCUCCCUUCCUGUAACAACAGGUUUCUAACAGCCCACAAUGUAUAGGCAUUAACUGGGGGCCGGUCAUUCCGUGGGGUGUGGUAAAGUCUGGAGGGGUGUGUGUGUGUGUGAGUCUGUCUCACAAAUCCAUUCACAAUUUUCACACACAGCUUUAAGGAAACCCCAAGAGCCUUGAGGCUCAAGGAUGUACAGGGCUGGUGAAACUUUCUUCGCUUUUGCCCUUUGCGCAGGCAGGAAGUCAUAUUUUUGUAACCACAACUGGAGCCGAUCAUCUUCUGGCUUGUUACUACAUUUCUACUGGGACUGCCAGAUUUGGGAAUACAGUAUGGGGAAAGAAGGCAAGGGGGCCUGCUAGGGGUUAACUUUCUGCAUUUUAAAAAUGGAUUCAUUUCUCCUGGCACACACGGGGAUACAUUUGUAAAAAAUCAUCAAUUUACCUGAAUGGACAGAAAAAUUAUAUUCCUAAUGGAAUGUAGGCAGAUUGUGAGCUCUUAGAGAUAGGGGCUGUCUCUUGUUCUGUGUUUGUACAGUGCCUAGCACAAUCCUGACUAGGACCUCUACACACUAUUGUAAUAUUAAUAAUUUAAGUAAAACGCAGUAUUGUAAAUAGGGAUUGAUUUAUAAACAGGCAUGUCUACUUCCCACAUCUCCUUCUAAUAGACCAUUUUUUUAUUACAGUUUUCCUAGUUGUUUUUUGAGCAAGCAUCACUGCAACCAAACCCCAGACAAAAGAAUGUUGCAGCCAGAAGGAUUUCUCUGAGUGUCUGUGACAAGGAGGAGGAGUUUGUUCACUGUGCCCCCAGAGUAGUUCACAACCUGUUGUAAAAGAGAUGGACUUGCCCCCACUGAAAAUAGCUGAGUUGAUAAGGUUGACCAAACAACUUUGAAAGAAGGUGUAAUGUCUCAUUAGCACAAGGAGCAAGAUACAACAGGAUCUCUCAGACCCUGACAAACACAACACAGCUGCUGGGGCAAUUAGAGCUGUGAAUCAAAGGAGCCAAGGGAGAGGAGAAGAGAAGUACAAACAUGUACA